UUUCUAGAGGACACACCCGCUGUAACUCAAUCAUCCCCGAAUUUUGUGAGUUGGCAACUACAAAAAAAAUCAGACAAAACAGCCAUCCGAGUUAGGCUAGCCUACAUUAUUUGGUCGUAACUUUUUUCUAACGUCAUUGUUUGAGCCAUAGUCUUGAUUUAACUUUAAACUUAUCUCGAUAUUUUGUAGUCUAGCCUAUGUUAGUUUGUUGGCUCACCUAGGAAGUUGACUACUUUGAGGAUGAGAUGCAUGGGAACGCGCGCUGAAAAUGGCAAAGAAGGCUUGAACUGAAGUGGAUUGAAAGAAGAAGCGAUACAAAUCGACAAUUAGGUCUACAUUUCUCUAACAACCCUUUGAAGUUAUGGAUUCAAUGCACUCAAGGAGGCGCAACACUCCGAAGGCCACGGAGCAUGAUGGGGACCCAUCGCUGCAGUUCCUUCCAGCUUCCGAUUCCAAAAAGACUGAGAAGAACACAAGGCCUGGGGAGGUGGGAGUUGUGAUCAGACUGAUCGCCUUUUUCCUGGUCUUCUCUCUGAUGACUGGACUGCUUGUUUACAGCCUAUAUGUUUUUUGACCCUAACAUCCCUAAAAGAAAUAAAAGGCAAAAGUAA